rnacentral:lncRNA from 1 species
UUCUUCUUUGGCGAUUCAUCAUCCGUAUCUUCAGAUAAUGGAGAAUCUAGCUUCCCACUAAUAGUGUGGUAAUCUAAAGAACCUGUUCUCUCUACAUAUUUGCCGUUGUUGCCGGUUGAAAGCAUAGCUGCAGCUGCCUCAGCAGCUUUCCUCCACUGAUCAGCUUGCACUUUUAACCUCCUCAACUCAGCUUCCAUCUCGGAGUUAGCAUUCUGUGCUGCAUCCAACUGCUUGGUAACACGUGCUGCCUUUCGGCUACUUUCAUCUGCUUCAUCUGUCAAAUGUCCUAACUUCAUCAGGCUUCUAUCUCGGAGUUAGCAUUCUGUGCUGCAUCCAACUGCUUGGUAACACGUGCUGCCUUUCGGCUACUUUCAUCUGCUUCAUCUGUCAAAUGUCCUAACUUCAUCAGAGCCUCUCUUUCUACACCUUUCACGGCUUCUGCCACAGCAAGAGUUUCAUCAUUCACUUUUCUACCCUUGGUUUCCCUCUUCUUGAUUUCUGACUUCAGCAUCUCAUUUUCCUCCUUAAUAUUCUGCAACUCUGUCUCUUUGUCCAAUAAACUGGCCCGCAAAUCUCCCAAAGUUGACUCUGAUUCCUUCAGUACAGCUACUAAUUCAGAUUCUCUAUCAGCAGACUGUAUUGUCUCAACUUGCACGUUUAGCUCCUUAUUUUCGUCGGAAAUCUUUUGAAGCUUAGCUUCUUUGUUGAUCAGUUUCUCCUUUAACUCUUCCAACUCCGCUUUUGC